AUUGAACGCUGGCGGCAGGCUUAACACAUGCAAGUCGAGCGGGGGAAGGUAGCUUGCUACCGGACCUAGCGGCGGACGGGUGAGUAAUGCUUAGGAAUCUGCCUAUUAGUGGGGGACAACAUCUCGAAAGGGAUGCUAAUACCGCAUACGUCCUACGGGAGAAAGCAGGGGAUCUUCGGACCUUGCGCUAAUAGAUGAGCCUAAGUCGGAUUAGCUAGUUGGCGGGGUAAAGGCCUACCAAGGCGACGAUCUGUAGCGGGUCUGCGAGGAUGAUCCGCCACACUGGGACUGAACCACGGCCCAGACUCCUACGGGAGGCAGCAGUGGGGAAUAUUGGACAAUGGGGGGAACCCUGAUCCAGCCAUGCCGCGUGUGUGAAGAAGGCCUUAUGGUUGUAAAGCACUUUAAGCGAGGAGGAGGCUACUCUAGUUAAUACCUAGGGAUAGUGGACGUUACUCGCAGAAUAAGCACCGGCUAACUCUGUGCCAGCCGCCGCCGCAG
rnacentral:rRNA from 1 species